GGGCUUGUACCGGUUUCGACGGGGACGAUGCAGCUUUAGAAGCUAUCCGAAAGACAGUUGCGUUAAACUUCAAACUUAAAUACAAACGCUAACGACAAUAGUUACGCAUUGGCAGCCUAAGCGCUGCCGGCCAGUUCCGGAUCACUCACAGCCCGGGGUACUGACCUCAUCUAUGUGAGAAACGACGCAUCCGGUUCCUCCCGGCUGCGGGCGUAUCAGAGGAUACCGGCUGUGUGGAGACGUGCACAUCUUCUCACAGUGGGGAAUCUCCAAAGUGUACUAUGAUAGUAGAAGGAAAGGGAAUUUGUUUUCGGACAUGGGUUCGACUCCCAUCAGGUCCACGU
rnacentral:tmRNA from 1 species